UUUAAGUAAUAAAAUUUAUUAUAUUUAAUUUCGACUUAAAAUUUAGCUUUUUAGCUCUUAUUAAUU
rnacentral:tRNA from 1 species